rnacentral:rRNA from 1 species
ACGAACGCUGGCGGCAGGCCUAAAACAUGCAAGUCGAACGCUCUAGCAAUAGAGAGUGGCGCACGGGUGAGUAACAUGUGGGAAUAUGCCUUUUGGUACGGAACAACGUUUGGAAACGAACGCUAAUACCGUAUGGUCCCUUCGGGGUAAAGAUUUAUCGCCAAAAGAGUAGCCCGCACUGGAUUAGCUAGUUGGUAAGGUAAUGGCUUACCAAGGCGACGAUCCAUAGCUAGUCUGAGAGGAUGAUCAGCCACACGGGGACUGAGACACGGCCCAGACUCCUACGGGAGGCAGCAGUUAGGAAUAUUGGACAAGGGGCGCAAGCCUGAUCCAGCCAUGCCGCGUGAGUGAUGAAGGCCUUCGGGUUGUAAAGCUCUUUAGUCCACGAAUAUAAUGACUGUAGUGGAAGAAUAAGCCCCGGCUAACUUCGU